rnacentral:rRNA from 1 species
AGUAACGCGUGAGGAACCUGCCUUUCAGAGGGGGACAACAGCUGGAAACGGCUGCUAAUACCGCAUAACAUAUAGGUAUCGCAUGGUGCCUAUAUCAAAGAUUUAUCGCUGAAAGAUGGCCUCGCGUCUGAUUAGCUAGUUGGUAGGGUAACGGCCUACCAAGGCGACGAUCAGUAGCCGGACUGAGAGGUUGGCCGGCCACAUUGGGACUGAGAUACGGCCCAGACUCCUACGGGAGGCAGCAG